UAUACGACUCUCGGCAACGGAUAUCUCGGCUCUCGCAUCGAUGAAGAACGUAGCGAAAUGCGAUACUUGGUGUGAAUUGCAGAAUCCCGUGAACCAUCGAGUCUUUGAACGCAAGUUGCGCCCGAGGCCUUCCGGUUGAGGGCACGCCUUCCUGGGCAUCACGC
rnacentral:rRNA from 1 species